rnacentral:rRNA from 1 species
GAUGAACGCUGGCGGCGUGCUUAACACAUGCAAGUCGAACGAAGCACUUUAUUUGAUUUCCUUCGGGACUGAUUAUUUUGUGACUGAGUGGCGGACGGGUGAGUAACGCGUGGGUAACCUGCCUUGUACAGGGGGAUAACAGUUGGAAACGGCUGCUAAUACCGCAUAAGCGCACGGCAUCGCAUGAUGCAGUGUGAAAAACUCCGGUGGUAUAAGAUGGACCCGCGUUGGAUUAGCUAGUUGGCGAGGUAACGGCCCACCAAGGCGACGAUCCAUAGCCGACCUGAGAGGGUGACCGGCCACAUUGGGACUGAGACACGGCCCAAACUCCUACGGGAGGCAGCAGUGGGGAAUAUUGCACAAUGGGCGAAAGCCUGAUGCAGCGACGCCGCGUGAGCGAAGAAGUAUUUCGGUAUGUAAAGCUCUAUCAGCAGGGAAGAUAAUGACGGUACCUGACGAAGAAGCACCGGCUAAAUACGUG